UUUUCAUUUUAGCUUCCCAAAAUUUGAAUUUCACUAAAAAUCUCUCUUCUCUCUCUCACUCUCCCUAACGCUCCACGCUCUUUGCCUCUCCGUCAACCCGUCGUCUCCACACUCUCUACCUCUCUGUCAACCUGUCAUCUCCACUUCUAGCAUACCCAACUCAAACCCAUCAACAAAAACAAAGAAAAAACAUUAACUCACCAUCGGAGCUCCCGACACCCAAACACUCGCAUCCUUUUUAGACCCAGAUCAGAGAGAGAGUAAGGGUUCGAGUUUAGAGAGAAUCAAGUGUGGAGAGAGACAUUGAUGCUUUUCAAACCCAAAUCAGAGAAGGUUAGGGUUUAGGUUUGGAGAAAAUCGGGAAAGAGAGAAGUUGAUGAUCUUUCAGGUUAUUUUAUGGAGGGAAAUGAGAUUGAGAGACAGAGAAAGAGAUUUUGGUCAAAGGAGAGAAGAAGCCACCAUCGGAGGUGGUGGUUGCAGUGAGCCAGCCUUGCCGAUUUGGUUCAAAGACUUGGGCUAUCUUAGAGGGAGAACACCACCCAGCACCAAGCAGCAGGAUCUCUAAUCUGAAAUCAGUUUCCUUUCCUAUUAGUGGGAAAAGCUUUACAACUCUAAGGAUGCAGCCAGCACAUUUCCGUAUUUCUUGUGUGGCCAAACCAGAGAUAGUGACGACGGUGUGUGAAAUUGUGAAGAAGCAACUAGCUCUACAUGAUGAUUCUGCAGUCACUGGAGAGUCAAAAUUUGCUGCCCUUGGGGCUGAUUCUCUCAACAUGGUACCCUAAUAUCUACCCAAGAAACAUCUGUUAUAUUUUCCUGUACAUAUUAUUUUGUUCUGAUGCAACUCUUAAUUAAAGGCCCAUUGUUUAUUUUGUUACUGUACAAUCAUCAAGCAAUUUUGAUAUUGCUGUUGGACUUGUUUGGAAAGGUAAUGCUUGAAUAUAUCUGAAAUGAGAGGGAAAUCAAACUCUUUGAAUGUAGAUGUGUUUGCUAUAAAGCCUUUUUGUUUUGGAUUUUGUUCAUUUGGUUGGGGAUAAAAAUUACAAUGAAAUUUUUUUGUUUAUAACAAGUGAAUUUGGUGGCCCUAAUACUGAGUAUAAAUGGUUUUUUCUUCUUGUUAUUACUAGAUGGUAUAAAGACCAUAAAUAGUAGCUUGUCUUUGAGAAAGAAUUAUUAGCUUUUAUGUGCCCUGGUUGUGCCUUUCAUAUAGGAACUUAUCCAUAAACUUUCCUAGGAAUUUCUCCACACUAAUUUAACUAGUGUCUUUUGGAAUGUAAUUUUGCUUUGAUGCCUUUUUUUAGUCUUGGUUCUCCUUAAUGCAAAAUGCAUUUGUUAUUGUCUGAUUGCCCCAUUAAAAUUGGGCUGUGCACCUACCAUAUUAUGUCAUUGAUUACAAAGGAAUUAAAUGUAUCUCAUGAACAUUCAAACUAUAUGAUCUGCUCCGUAUUUCACUUUUAAUGUUGGUCCCUUAGCUGAGUUCUUAAGAUGGAAAUUCCCAAGCUAAACCCUCAACAAACUUACAUAUUUAGUAGUAAAUAGUGAUAUUGAUCUUAUGGCUUCACUUGUGCUUACUGUUAAUUGCAAAUUUUGAUUUAUGUUUAUCAUUGAAAUCACGCUUUGUUCUUUUGUCAAGUUGAAUGGCAUGAUUAAAGGAAUGCUAUUCUUGAUGUCCAAAAAAAAAAA